rnacentral:tRNA from 1 species
GGGUCGGUAGCCUAGUUGGUAAAGCGCUCGUCUAGCGUACAAAAGUCGUGAGUUCAAAUCCCAUUUGAGCUG